rnacentral:rRNA from 1 species
CCACACGUACCCAUCCCGAACACGACCGUUAAGCCCUCCAGCGCCGAUGGUACUUGGACCGAAGGGUCCUGGGAGAGUAGGACGCCGCC